rnacentral:rRNA from 1 species
CAGCCGCCGCGGUAACACGUAGGUGGCAAGCGUUGUCCGGAAUUAUUGGGCGUAAAGGGCUCGCAGGCGGUUUCUUAAGUCUGAUGUGAAAGCCCCCGGCUCAACCGGGGAGGGUCAUUGGAAACUGGGAAACUUGAGUGCAGAAGAGGAGAGUGGAGUUCCACGUGUAGCGGUGAAAUGCGUAGAGAUGUGGAGGAACACCAGUGGCGAAGGCGACUCUCUGGUCUGUAACUGACGCUGAGGAGCGAAAGCGUGGGGAGCGAACAGGAUUAGAUACCCCUGUAGUCCCUGUCUCUUAUAC